CUUUCUUCCCUGGCGAACUCUUCUUCGCCGUCUUCGCUACCUUAGCUGGCUUAGCCGCUGGUUUAGCUUUGGCCUUACUUGUAGUAGCCUUCGGUUUCGCCGCAACUUUAGCCUUUGCCUUCACAGGCGUUGCAACUUUAGCUUUCGCUUUCGCUUUCGACGCGGUUUUAGUCGCCUUCGGCUUGGACUUUGCGGCGGUAGUGGUAGUUGCAGAUUUAGGCUUCGCGGCGGCAGGUUUCUUAGCUACGGCGGCUGGUUUCUUAGCUGCGGCAUAAGCCGAAGGCAGCUUAAAAGAGGCUUUCACUUUUACGAGCUUUCCGGAAGCAACAAACUUCUUCGUCUGAACAAGUAAGACUUUGCGGAAAUUCGCCGGUAAUUGCUUAUGCUUCUCUUCAAUGAAUUUCGCAAUCGCAUAUUGGCUCGAUCCUGUCCUCUCUUUCAACGAAACGAUUGCAUCUGAAAUC
rnacentral:lncRNA from 1 species